rnacentral:rRNA from 1 species
GAUGAACGCUGGCGGCGUGCCUAAUACAUGCAAGUCGAGCGAACAGACGAGGAGCUUGCUCCUCUGACGUUAGCGGCGGACGGGUGAGUAACACGUGGAUAACCUACCUAUAAGACUGGGAUAACUUCGGGAAACCGGAGCUAAUACCGGAUAAUAUAUUGAACCGCAUGGUUCAAUAGUGAAAGACGGUUUUGCUGUCACUUAUAGAUGGAUCCGCGCCGCAUUAGCUAGUUGGUAAGGUAACGGCUUACCAAGGCAACGAUGCGUAGCCGACCUGAGAGGGUGAUCGGCCACACUGGAACUGAGACACGGUCCAGACUCCUCCGGGAGGCAGCAGUAGGGAAUCUUCCGCAAUGGGCGAAAGCUUGACGGAGCAACGCCGCGUGAGUGAUGACGGUCUUCGGAUCGUAAAACUCUGUUAUUAGGGAAGAACAAAUGUGUAAGUAACUAUGCACGUCUUGACGGUACCUAAUCAGAAAGCCACGGCUAACUACGUG